ensembl:lncRNA
UACCACAGUAGCCUCUGAUAUGUGUAUUUAUACUACCACAGUACCCUCUGAUAUGUGUAUUUAUACUACCACAGUAGCCUCUGAUGUGUAUUUAUACUACCACAGUACCCUCAGAUAUGUGUAUUUAUACUACCACAGUACCCUCUGUUAUGUGUAUUUAUACUACCACAGUACCCUCUGAUAUGUGUAUUUAUACUACCACAGUACCCUCUGAUAUGUGUAUUUAUACUACCACAGUACCCUCUGAUAUGUGUUUUUAUACUAUCACAGUACCCUCUGAUAUGUGUAUUUAUACUACCACAGUACCCUCUGAUAUGUGUAUUUAUACUACCACAGUACCCUCUGAUAUGUGUAUUUAUACUACCACAGUACCCAACCCUCUGAUAUGUGUAUUUAUACUACCACAGUACCCUCUGAUAUGUGUAUUUAUACUACCACAGUACCCUCUGAUAUGUGUAUUUAUACUACCACAGUACCCUCUGAUAUGUGUAUUUAUACUACCACAGUACCCUCUGAUAUGUGUAUUUAUACUACCACAGUACCCUCUGAUAUGUGUAUUUAUAAUACCACAGUACCCUCUGAUAUGUGUAUUUAUACUACCACAAUACCCUCUGAUAUGUGCACUUAUACUACCACAGUACCCUCUGAUAUGUGUAUUUAUACUACCACAGUACCCUCUGAUAUGUGUAUUUAUACUACCACAGUACCCUCUGAUAUGUGUAUUUAUACUACCACAAUACCCUCUGAUAUGUGCACUUAUACUACCACAGUACCCUCUGAUAUGUGCACUUAUACUACCACAGUACCCUCUAUGUGUAUUUAUACUACCACAGUACCCUCUGAUAUGUGUAUUUAUACUACCACAGUACCCAACCCUCUGAUAUGUGUAUUUAUACUACCACAGUACCCUCUGAUAUGUGUAUUUAUACUACCACAGUACCCUCUGAUAUGUGUAUUUAUACUACCACAGUACCCUCUGAUAUGUGUAUUUAUACUACCACAGUACCCUCUGAUAUGUGUAUUUAUACUACCACAGUACCCUCUGAUAUGUGUAUUUAUACUACCACAGUACCCUCUGAUAUGUGUAUUUAUACUACCACAAUACCCUCUGAUAUGUGCACUUAUACUACCACAGUACCCUCUGAUAUGUGUAUUUAUACUACCACAGUACCCUCUGAUAUGUGUAUUUAUACUACCACAGUACCCUCUGAUAUGUGUAUUUAUACUACCACAAUACCCUCUGAUAUGUGCACUUAUACUACCACAGUACCCUCUGAUAUGUGCACUUAUACUACCACAGUACCCUCUGAUAUGUGUAUUUAUACUACCACAGUACCCAACCCUCUGAUAUGUGUAUUUAUACUACCACAGUACCCUCUGAUAUGUGUAUUUAUACUACCACAGUACCCUCUGAUAUGUGUAUUUAUACUACCACAGUACCCUCUGAUAUGUGUAUUUAUACUACCACAGUACCCUCUGAUAUGUGUUUUUAUACUACCACAGUACCCUCUGAUAUGUGUAUUUAUACUACCACAGUACCCUCUGAUAUGUGUAUUUAAACUACCACAGUACACUCUGAUAUGUGUAUUUAUACUACCACAGUACCCUCUGAUAUGUGUAUUUAUACUACCACAGUACCCUCUGAUAUGUGUAUUUAUACUACCACAGUACCCUCUGAUGUGUGUAUUUAUACUACCACAGUACGUUCUGAUAUGUGUAUUCAUACUACCAC